rnacentral:tRNA from 1 species
UAAAUUUUAGUCAGUGAGCAACUGACUCUUAAUCAGUGGGUCCAGGGUUCGAAUCCCUGAGGGUGUACAA